rnacentral:rRNA from 1 species
GAGGAGAGUAUCCUAAGGCCAGCGAGAGAACUGUUGUUAAGGAACUCGGCAAAAUGACCCCGUAACUUAGGGAUAAGGGGUGCCACCAUCAGGUGGCCGCAGAGAAUAGGCCCAAGCGACUGUUUACCAAAAACAUAGGUUUCUGCUAAGUCGCAAGACGAUGUAUAGGAGCUGACGCCUGCCCGGUGCUGGCAGGUUAAGGGGAUCUGUUAGAGCAAUCGAAGCAGUGAACUUAAGCCCCAGUAAACGGCGGCCGUAACUAUAACGGUCCUAAGGUAGCGAAAUUCCUUGUCGGGUAAGUUCCGACCCGCACGAAAGGCGUAACGAUUUGGGCACUGUCUCAACAACAGACUCGGUGAAAUUGUAAUUCCGGUGACGAUGCCGGAUACCUGCGACAGGACGGAAAGACC